UUAAAACUUUAACCCACCACGCAAGCAGACCACACUGGAGACGCUAUUCUCAGACUUACCAGCGACUUGAAAGUUGUAGAGACUAAAAAUGAAGGUCAUUUUUGUUGUCAUUACGUGUUUGAUGCUCAAAGUUGCGAGCUUUGAGACACUGAAGCAGCCAAAUCGUGAUGCAGCAUACGUGAAUGAAGAUGUCGACUCAACUGAAACCCCACAAAAGUCGCGACUUGGGUCCACAAAAGAAGACAAGUACGUUUUGGGUCCAACUUGUAAAGUGCUAUUGUUGUCAAUAGUUUAAACCACAAACGAUUCGGGUUGAAGCCGUCAAAGUUUUCCAAUAUAACGCUUUCCCAACAGUGAGUGCGGUAACUCCUUCAAUAGUGGAUCAAAAGUGUUGCUGUGCUCCCAGCUCAGUCUGAAAUGAAACCUGUUUUUCGAAAACUCUCUUCAGUGAAAUUAAUUAAGUUGCCUGUGCCAUGUAUAUCAUUUCAACCAUUCCAUUCGAGGUCGGAGCUGCCUGAAAAAUUAUGAAAUCAAAGCAAGUAAAACGGUGCCAUUUCCCUUAAAACAUCCAUGUGACUUGACCAACACC